ACCAUCAGAAUUAGCUUUUGCACCAGUCGGUAGAGUAUGAGACUUAAUCUCAGGGUAGUGGGUUCAAGCCCCACGUUGGGUG